ensembl:lncRNA
CAUUCUGCCCUUUUCGAUGUUCCUUUUCUCUUCUCAUUUAAGUACCAGGAGGAGCUCUUCUUUCUGAGGGUGAACAAGAUCCUCUGAUUCCUCCACCUCGCGGUGCCUUUUGGAGAGUGACUUCUUUGUUGCUGCUGGCUGAAUGAUUGCUCAUUCGUUCCUCCAUGAUGGGCCGGGCCUUGGAGGACUCAGCCCAGCUGUUCUGCAUGUGCUCUUUGGUGGAAGCCCAGAAGAAGUCAUGAUGAAAAUAUCAAGGACUGUGCUGACCUCGAUAUCCGCAAGACAGUCAAAGUGGUAAUGUACAUUUAUUCAGAAAGAUUGGAAUGAUACCGAUUUGGGGCAAGUAAUACCUGAUGUCAGAUAUAUAACACUAAAAUCACACUGUUUGCUCAUUUAAACCAGCGUGCUGAAGCAAUAUUUAAAGCACGUAAUUAUAGUGACUGAUAAUUAAGUAAAAUGUGUUUUUUGAGGAUGUGACGAGAAAUGAGAUUAUUUUACAUGUGGUUUAAGAUCUCAGGCUGUUGUCAGCCGUGUAAUUGAAGGUUAUUGACAAGUUGUUCUAUCGCAAUUUAUUCUAUAGAUUCUGAAUAUAAUGCAAAUCUUGAGAAAUGAGACAAUCUAUUCUAAUGGUCCUUAUUAGCUGGAGGGUACAGAAGAAUUGUCAUCUGAAGGAAAGAACAAUACUAAUGAGUUGUCACUGUCUUGGGAUUUGCCUCAAGUCACAUGUGAGAACAGAAGAUGCUGCUGGACAAGCUGAUGCUCCACGCAGUGAGUAUUCUCAUCUGUACUUUAACAGAUCAUUUCAACCAGACAGACAAAUGAGCGUUGAAGUUCAGACUCACAAUGUUCACAUUGUGUCUUUUUUGUGCUGCACACAGAUGUUGAUGAGUUGAUUGUUUCGCGCUAGUUAAGUAGUUAAACAUUAGUAAGGCGGCUUUCCUUUUCGUAAUGCAAAUGCUUUGCAGGUACUUGGAAGAAGCUCAAGACGGGUUAAAGCAGUUACGAAGGGGCUUAAAAGAGACGCUGAUCUGGCCUUCGCUAACUGAGAGGAAAGACACAAUUCCCCUCCUCUUUCCAAGAGCAUGUGAUGUACAGCGCACACCACAGAGACCUCCUUCCACCAUUUAGGAGCAGGACAGCAAAGAGUGGAGAUGCUCUCAGUGAGGAGGAACAAGCAGUUUAUCACAUGCAGAGCGGAGACUGCGGGUCGGGAUGUCGGGUUGGACCAGGUCCUGGAUGUAAGCUGGACCCCAUCCAUUCACAGCAUGCAUCUGUCAGCAUCCUCGGGAAACUCCUACAGUUGUGGAUAGGAUGGAAUGUGCUCCCCAGACACCAGCUGGAUAUCAGCGUGGUGGAGAGCAACUUCUCCACUUCCUCCACCUGCUUCCACCAGCUGAAGCUUCCAGUACAAAGACUACUGCCACUCUGAAAUGGACCUUCUUGCUGCUACUUGUAGGACACUGUGUUUGGGUUGGUCUAAGGACACUGUCCAUCAAGAUAACACUUUGUCUGUGCACUUUAGAGCUGCAAUGAAUAGUCGACUAAAUCGACUACGUCGAUUGUGAAAAAUUGUCGACGUGGAUUUUUAACGUCGGCGUGUCAUAUAUUUUAUGUCAGAGCUGCCGGUCAUUUUCAUUCAGCAUUGCAAUGCACUACCGGAAGUGCAGGGGGCAGUAUGGCUUACAUUGUCUAUAUGCACCAAGGAAUAGACAUACUUACUCCAAGGCAAAGAAGAAGAACGAUUUUGAAUCACGGCGGAACAGAGCUCGACCGAGAGCUUCAAAAGUCUGGGAAUAUUUUACCAGCAAACAAAAUAAAAAAGUAUUUGAGUAAAAAUCUGCAAAAUGGAAUUAGCAUUUCAUUCCAGCACCACGGCAACGCAUGAGCAUUUGAAACGGAGGCCUCCUGGAGCCACCACGUCUUCUCCUGCUGAUGG